GUGCCAGCAGCCGCGGUAAUACGUAGGUGGCAAGCGUUGUCCGGAAUUAUUGGGCGUAAAGCGCGCGCAGGCGGCCUUUUAAGUCUGAUGUGAAAGCCCCCGGCUCAACCGGGGAGGGUCAUUGGAAACUGGAAGGCUUGAGUGCAGAAGAGAAGAGCGGAAUUCCACGUGUAGCGGUGAGAUGCGUAGAGAUGUGGAGGAACACCAGUAGCGAAGGCGGCUCUUUGGUCUGUAACUGACGCUGAGGCGCGAAAGCGUGGGGAGCGAACAGGAUUAGAUACCCUGGUAGUCCACGCCGUAAACGAUGAGUGCUAAGUGUUGGGGGGUUUCCGCCCCUCAGUGCUGCAGCUAACGCAUUAAGCACUCCGCCUGGGGAGUACGGCCGCGAGGCUGAAACUCAAAGGAAUUGACGGGGGCCCGCACAAGCGGUGGAGCAUGUGGUUUAAUUCGAAGCAACGCGAAGAACCUUACCAGGUCUUGACAUCCCGCUGACCGCCCUGGAGACAGGGCUUCCCCUUCGGGGGCAGCGGUGACAGGUGGUGCAUGGUUGUCGUCAGCUCGUGUCGUGAGAUGUUGGGUUAAGUCCCGCAACGAGCGCAACCCUUGAUCUUAGUUGCCAGCAUUCAGUUGGGCACUCUAAGGUGACUGCCGGUGACAAACCGGAGGAAGGUGGGGAUGACGUCAAAUCAUCAUGCCCCUUAUGACCUGGGCUACACACGUGCUACAAUGGAUGGUACAAAGGGCUGCAAGACCGCGAGGUUUAGCCAAUCCCAUAAAACCAUUCUCAGUUCGGAUUGCAGGCUGCAACUCGCCUGCAUGAAGCUGGAAUCGCUAGUAAUCGCGGAUCAAAACGCCGCGGUGA
rnacentral:rRNA from 1 species